rnacentral:misc_RNA from 1 species
GAUGAAGAACGUAGCGAAAUGCGAUACUUGGUGUGAAUUGCAGAAUCCCGUGAACCAUCGAGUUUUUGAACGCAAGUUGCGCCCGAAGCCUUUUGGCCGAGGGCACGUCUGCCUGGGCGUCACGCAUCGCGUCGCCCCCCACAAUUCUCCGUAAAGGGAACGUGUGUUUUGGGGGCGGAUAUUGGUCUCCCGUGCUCAUGGCGUGGUUGGCCGAAAUAGGAGUCCUUUCGAUGGACGCACGAACUAGUGGUGGUCGUAAAAACCCUCGUCUUUUGUUUCGUGCUGUUGCUCGCAAGGUAAACUCUUUAAAAACCCCAAUGUGUCGUCUCUUGACGACGCUUCGACCGCGACCCCAGGUCAGGCGGGACUACCCGCUGAGUUUAAGCAUAUCAAUAAGCGGAGGA